UUGUUUGGAUGAAGAAACACCGAGAAAAAUAAAAAAAGCAAAAGGCUGUGAAGAAACAACAACCCUUACCACUGAAACGCGAGAGAUUCAUGUGCAAGAGAAGCUAGGGAAAGAGAAGAAGAACAAAAAGAAGAAGAAGAAGAAGAAAAGCUGAUUGCCAGAAAAGAAAGGGUAUAAAGGAAGAAAACAAAGGUAUGCAGCAUAGUUGAAGCGAGCAUAUAUUAUCCCUGCAGGCGUUCGUUUUUCCAUACAGGCUACCGGCUUUGUUCAUGCCCUACCUGCCAGCUUCGUUCUUGCUGUUGCAUAUGAUCUCCGACUAAGCUGGGGUUUGACUAGCACGGCGCAUGGCCGAUGGCUUGCUCAUGGAAACGGCAUACCGAUACAGUUUUUGAGACUUCCGAUGGUGGUCGACGGCAACGCCUACGGCCUACUUCUUCCCCCUCCACCUCUACCUCCAGCUCUGAUCUGACGUUGGUUGUGGGUGGAUGAUGGCAUCCGGAUCUAAUCUCUGGCCAUAAACGAUAAAGGAUGAACCUUAGAGUCUCUGCACAAACGUUUGAUCCAUUAGCAGGAACCAGUGACUGGGUAUUCGUAAAAAUGUUUGCCUGGGAGAAUUCUCAUCGUGAAGCGUGCAAAUGGUUGGGAUUUCGAGGAGAGCAUCUUUACAGCAGCGAUCUGACAUUGGUGGUAAACGACUUGUGUUGUAAGAGGUGGAGACAGCUUCUUCAUCAUCAUCAUCAUCAUCAUCAUCCAGGCGGAUGGCGGAUUCCGAUCUCCUGAGAGCUUGAGCCUCCAUGCAGUACAAACGGUGGUGCAAUAUGACGUUAAUAAUAAAUAAGCUUCCAAUUGAUCAAAACUCUGAAGACAGCAAGCCAAGACAUAGAAGCACGAGAAAAGGCAAAUGGGAUGGAGGAAGUCCAACGUUAUGUAAUGAUUACGUGUCCUAUAGCCGGGUAGUAUUUGGUGGCUACUGAACAGAUCUAUUAGGAGCAAUUUGAUGAAUCAUUUGAGGAGCUGGGUUUGUGUCUCAAGGAUGGCUAUAAAGGGUAAACUGGUCCUCUCCCAACUGUCGAAAAUAUAUUGGAAAAGUAAGUUGAAGUGACAUGGAUAUUACAAUUGGAGAAAUUCAUGAGGGUUGGUUGGUCGUUUGAUGAGUUGAUUAAUGUCCAAGAAACAACGUUGCGUGGAGUAACUACAGAUGCAACUUUAACAUUGAGCUCGAUAGAAGGCAGCAAGUAAAGGCGCAUGAGCUCGAUAGAAGGCAGCAAGAAUUUUUUUUUUUAAUGAUAUUUUUUUUUAAAAUGUGUAUUGUAAAUAUUAGGUUUUGUUUUGUUUUGUAUUAAUUUUUAUUUAGUUUUUUUUC